GCUGCCUGGGUCGGCUGGGCCUGUGGGCCUGCGUCCGACAGCGCGCGGCCGUGCUUUCUAAGCGGGCUCGGCAGCACCAGACUUCACCGGCCCGGCGCGGGGCUCACAAGUGCUCGCACUCCCUGCGGCCGGCGCGCUGACCGGAGCCUCUGGGUCUCGCACGCAGCAGCUGCAGACGCUGCCCGGCGCGGUGGGGCUGUGAGCAAAACGGCCCGCCGGUGUGGUUGCCCAGACUGUGCUGGGCCCUCCUAGGUGGAUGGCCCUGCCCCAGCCUAACUUCUGUACCCCAGCAUAACCUCCAAAGUAACAGCCGUGCCCUGGGAGCCUGUUCAACACUGAACAUAUCCCACAAUAACACUGUUCCAGCGUCGCUGGUAAAAAGCAGAAAUGGCUUCGCUGGAGGCAUCGACAAAUCUAAUGCAGUAACCUCAUUUUACAGAAGAGAACUCUAAGAGGAUAACUAACUUGGCCAAGAUCACAUGAUGUUUCUGGAUGAGAUUAGCAUUCAAAUUCGUGGACUCAUUAAAGUAGAUGGCUCUCUCCAAUAUGGGUGGGCAUCAUCCAAUCUGUUGAAGGCGUGAAGAGAACAAGAGAAGGAGGAAGGAAGAAUUCACCUUUUUUCUUGCUGCCCACCUGCUUGGGCUGGGACAUUGCAUCUCACCUUCUCCAGCCUUUGGAUGAGGAUUUACACCCUGGUUCUCAGGCCUUCAGGCUCUAACUGGAGCUACACUAUCAACUUUCCUGGGCCUCCAGAUUGCAGAUGGUGGAUCACGGUACUUUUUAGCCUCCAUCAUAAUAUGAGAAAAAAGAGGCACAGUGAAGCUAAAUAUAUUGGCUAAAGAUCACAAAGCUAAGUUGAAAUUUUUCAAGAUGAAAAGUUGCUAAAGAAAGAGAAAGGGAAGCGGUUUGCUCCAGUAUUCCUCUUUCCACCUUCCCACUGACUGGGAAGCGGCGGUUAGCAGAGCCACAGUCUUGGAUUAGAGAUAAGAGGGACAUGUUGAGGAAGGUGGAGUCUCCCCCACAGCCCUGGACCAGGCUCCAGUGCCAACAAAAGCCAAGAAGAACCUCUGGAGCAAUCAGUCUAAAUUAGUUGAUAACGUCUUCCAGGAGACCUACGGCCAUCCUACUGAUAUGAACCAGAUCAUACCUGCCCUGAUGGGAUGCCAGAGAAAGACUGCUGCAAGUAGGGAUCCUCUGGAAACAGAACAGAGGGAAGAAGAUACCUUCCCUGAAGCCCAGAUGUUCCAGAAGCCUGCGCCUCAUUCACAAAGUCACCCCAAAAAUGCCCUAGAGUUUGGAGUUUUGAAGAAGCGGGAAGAAGGCCUGAGUAAGGGCCUGGGAACCAAGUUAGAUCCUACUUCAGCAUCAGCACAUGCCAGCGAUGGUGCACACAGGUGGAGAGCGGCCUGCCCGUCUUUUCCAUGGUGCCCACAGACCCAUUUAGGAUGAAAGAUCAGAAAAUUCUCUCCAUGUCACCGCUUCUGAAACAUGUGAAUAUUAAUAUUUGGUGCCUAAAAGGCCAUGGCAAAUUUUCAUUGGUUUUAUCUUAUUCAUGAUUAUAGAGUUGAAAGAAUACAUAUUCCCAUGGGGAUCAAUGAAGACAUUCUCAUUUUGAAUGAAGUAGAAUAUAAGUUGUAAAGAUAUAGAAUUUUCCUGAACUGAACCUUGAACCAAAAAUCCCCUCAAUUAACCUGGAACUAAACACAGUCCCUGAAGAUAACAAGGAGUUUCAGGAUGCCACAGGGCUGUCUGUGCAGUAUGGGGCUUCUUGCUCUAUCUCUGGUAUCUGAGGCAGAUAGGCUACUCAGGCCCCUCUCUGGUCUCAAGGUGGGCUGGCUGAGAUGUCAGUUUCUUCCUCAGUGACAGCUUGGGUACAGUAUGUGUAAACUGAUUGUCAGCUGAGCUGAAGGGACUCUGCCCAUAUUGGAGUGUUCUACAAGAAGAGGUGUCAAACCUAAAGGUCUAAAAUUACUAUGAAAGGAGUAUUGGAAACCACUGGGACAAUUGUGAUCACAACUGGUGGUAGCCUUCUCGUUUGGGUGAGAAAGACAGAAAGGAGGAAGAUGUGUUAGUCAAGGUUCUCUAGAGGGACAAAACUAAUAGGAUAUAUGUAUAUAUGAGAGGGAGUUUAUUAAGGAGAAUUGACUCACUUGAUCACAAGGUAAAGUCCCAAGAUAGGCUGUCUGCAAGUUGAGGAGCAAGGAAGUCAUUGGUGGAUUGUUCUGGGUACCAAAACCUCAAAAGUAGGGAAAUCGACAGUGCAGCCUUCAGUCUGUGGUCAAAGGCUCGAGGGGCCCUGGCAGACCACUGGUGUAAGUCCAAGAGUCCCAGAAGCUGAAGAACUUGGAGUCUGAUGUUUGAGGGCAGGAAGCAUCCAGCACAGGAGAAAGACGGAUGCUGGAAGACUUAGCAAGUCUGUUCUUUCCAAUUUCUUCUGCCUGCUUUUAUUCUAGCCAUGCUGGCAGCUGAUUAGAUGGUGCCCUCCCAAAUUGAGGGUGGCUGUGCCUCUCCCAGUCCACUGACUCAAAUGUUAAUCUCCUUUGGCAACACCCUCACAGACACACCCAGGAACAAUACUUUGCAUCCUUCAUUCCAAUCAAGUUGACACUCAAUAUUAACCAUCACAGAAGGAGAAUUUCAGGCUGAGUCCAAACACUAUGGCCCCAGCCCCAGCUUCCCCUUUCUGGGUUGAAUAACCAGACUGAGCCUAAGAAAAGGAAAAGAGUUGACUUUCUCCCAAAAGGCCUGCAGCGGGUUAGAAAGCAAUGGUUUGGGGACCAUACUGAGUGCCUAGGAUGCUCUGGACCACAAAGCUUGAAGUCAAAUUGUUCAUGCACUUGUUUCAUGAUAGGAAGAGAGAGAGAGAGAGAGAGAGAGAGAGAGAAAUUUCCUUUCCUUGAAGAAUGGCAAAACACGUCUCUUGUUCUGGGGGCUAUAUCUUGAAGGGUAUCUGAUCUCCCCCUCAUGGGAGGAACUAGAAUGCCCUAAGGCAGCCGUGGCUCCUGGAGCUGAGAGAUCUUUCUGACACUUUGUGAGAGCUGCAAGGCUAAGUCUGGAGCCAGAAAAGUCCAUGUGGACAAGUGCAGAGCAAGCAGAUCUGAGACACAUGUGGGAGCAAGCUGGACAUGUCCAAAAGUCAGAGGAAGCAAGAGCAGACAUGCAUGAGCAGGCAGAUGAGGCUGGUGCCCAGGCAGCAGGCUGAGGCUCUGGCUGGGCUUUGGAUGCUCCUGAGAGUCCAGUUAGAGACCAGUGAGCAAACCCACAGUGAACUCUUAUUCCUCACGCAGCAGGACGAGGGAUUAAGCACAAAGCCUUAAAGGUCUGAGUGUCUCUUUAUCCUGACCUCAGGAAAGAGAGGCAAGUAUCAUGUUUCUAAAAGUCUGAGAAGUCUUCACAUGACAGCCUACACCAAAAGAACUCAAAUGCACAUCCACUGCAUACACGCAUGUGUGCACACAUAUACAUGUGUACACAUGCAUGCCCACACACAACCCUCUGGAAGAGGAAGUAAAGAGACUUUAUGUUUUCAGCCCCUCUUGAGGAAACUUAAACUAAGUCUUUCUGUGGGGUUAGUGGUGGAGACAGAGAGGGUCUGGGGUCACCGAGGCCGAGGUGGCUGGACCCAGAGGGUAGAGCUGAGGGGAUCCCCUGAGACUGGGAAGAUGGAGCAGAAGCAGAUGGCAGAUGGCAGCAGGUGAGAGCAGACUGGAUUUCUCCUAAAUCACCAGAUCCAGCCAACCUUUCUUUCCUUAGGGACACCUCUAGAUCCCAUUCCAAAUGAACUCUUUCUCUGACCUUUCACCUCAAUUCAGAAUUUGGGAAAUUUAGCCAUGAUCUUAGGAACACAGAGGCUUGAAACAAUCUUUUCUAACCACCCGUUUGUUCAGACUGUGUAAGUUCUGCUUCUGCAUCCAGUGUCAACACCCAAGAACCAUUUUAAAGGGGAGCCAUCCUUUGAAAUUAAACUUCUUUUAAUAAUAAAGACAGAUUUCAGGGUUGACAUAAAAGAUAGCCACAGUAAAGCCAAUCCUCCAGUGUAUAACAUUUUUCAAAGUUUCCUUCCUCUUCAUUGCUGGUGUUCAUGUACAGUCCAGAGUUAGUCUACAUUAAAUUAUAGAUUGUUUUCAGCAAUAAUGCAAACAUUUGGAAGCCUUCAAACUCUCUGAUAACUAACUUCUACAUUCUCUCUGCUAUUAUUAUAUAGAAAGGGAAAUUUUACCUGAUGCUGUUAAAGUCCUCACGAACAUAGUGAUCCGAAUUGGCUGAAGUGGAAAACUAAAUGUUAGCUGAUUUUCAAAACAAGAUUUCCACUCUGAAUUCCCAUUUUUCACAUGUGAUCAUAUGCCUUGUUGUGAAGUUGAACUAAAAAGAAACUCCAUGCCCACUGGCUUAAUGCUAGAAGAUAAUCUACAGCAUAGUAAUUUCUUAGACUUCACUUUAUUAGCCACUAAACUUGGAAUGAUUAUUUCUAUGUUCAAUUAUUAAGUCUAUAUCUCCAUUUCUUAAAAAGGUCUGAGGCAGCCCCUUUGAAUAUUAAUACGCAUUUAUUUUCACCUCUCAAAUAAAAAAAUAGUUCACAGUG
rnacentral:lncRNA from 1 species